AACGAACGCUGGCGGCAGGCUUAACACAUGCAAGUCGAACGCAUCGCAAGAUGGGUGGCAGACGGGUGAGUAACGCGUGGGAACAUACCCUUUUCUACGGAAUAGCUCUGGGAAACUGGAAUUAAUACCGUAUACGCCCUACGGGGGAAAGAUUUAUCGGGGAAGGAUUGGCCCGCGUUGGAUUAGCUAGUUGGUGGGGUAAAGGCCUACCAAGGCGACGAUCCGUAGCUGGUCUGAGAGGAUGAUCAGCCACAUUGGGACUGAGACACGGCCCAAACUCCUACGGGAGGCAGCAGUGGGGAAUAUUGGACAAUGGGCGCAAGCCUGAUCCAGCCAUGCCGCGUGAGUGAUGAAGGCCUUAGGGUUGUAAAGCUCUUUCACCGAUGAAGAUAAUGACGGUAGUCGGAGAAGAAGCCCCGGCUAACUUCGUGCCAGCCGCCGCGGUAA
rnacentral:rRNA from 1 species